rnacentral:rRNA from 1 species
ACACACCGCCCGUCGCUUCUACCGAUUGAAUAUUCCCAUGAAAUCUUCGGAGGAGUCCGAUGAAUUGGGCUUGCCCAAGGAAUCGGCUUCCAAAGUCGUUUAAAUCGGAACAUUUAGAGGAAGGAGAAGUCGUAACAAGGUUUCCGUAGGUGAACCUGCGGAAGGAUCAAUGACA